ACAUUGAUUAACAGGAUAUGUGUACUUGGAAUUACUUGUAAAUGCAUCUACCUGUCUCAAUAUAAUCUUCUCAAUUUAUUUAAUGAACAUUAAUCGAAUACCACUCAAAUAAGGAAAUGCGGGGUAUUGGCCACGGUAUCGUGGUCGAAUAUUUCAGCAGCCAGACGGCCUUCUCCAAGCGCCGAGUUGACGAUGGCGCACCCAGCAGGCUAUGAAGAGCUGCAUGGUGUUUAGUGUUGAGCCUGCGUGGGUUGGCGGGGAGGCCACUGGUGUGACUCUUCUCCAGGCGCCGAGAUGAUGGCGGCGCCCCCAGCAGGCAGCAUAAGAUUCGGUGACUAUGGAGAGCUGCGUGGUGUGAUGUGCUGAGCCACCGUGCUUGGCGGAAAGGGCUCUGGAGUGACCUGUCGACACAUUUAAAUUUCAGAAUUAAAAACGUCAUCACAUUAUGAUGGGUUGAUAUAUUUAAAGAAAAUUGAAAAAUUAUUAUAGGACCCGAGGCUUGUAUAGACUUGAUUUCUGUAUCGACAUUGUUGAGACAGUAAUAUAGACACGAAAUGGUGUUACUAGUUUAUAACUACUGGCACAAGUGUAGUAAAAGAGUGCAAUGACAA